CUAAAAACCCAAUACUACUAAUACUAAAUAUUGGAAAUUUAAAGGGCAUAUUGGUCCAGAUGGCAUAAAGUAUAACAGAGUUCACUUCCCCGCCACUCAUACAAAAUUAACAAUGGCUUCGAAGCUCGUAGCUCCUCCUUCUUAUCUCUCCCGCUCCACCAAGCUCUUCUCCUUCUCUUCCACCUCCAAAGGACCUAAACUCGUUUCCUUCCCGACCUAUUGGAGGUCCAAACGAAGCUCCUGCUCCCGGAGAAUGGCUGCGAAAUCUUGUCUCAAAGUGGAGGAGAAGAGUUCCCAAAACUCCGCCCGAAGUGAGUGGGGGAAAGUCUCUGCGGUGCUUUUCGACAUGGAUGGAGUGCUAUGCAAUAGUGAAGACCUUUCGAGGAGGACUGGAGUCGACGUUUUCGCCGAGAUGGGUGUUAAAGUCACAGUGGAGGACUUUGUGCCUUUCAUGGGGACUGGUGAGGCCAACUUCUUGGGAGGUGUUGCGUCUGUUAAGGGAGUGAAAGGAUUUGAUCCUGAGGCCGCCAAGAAGAGAUUCUUUGAGAUAUAUUUGGAAAAGUAUGCAAAGCCAAAUUCCGGAAUUGGAUUUCCAGGAGCUCUUGAACUCAUUACUCAGUGUAAAAGCAAAGGCCUUAAAGUUGCUGUAGCAUCUAGUGCUGAUCGAAUCAAGGUUGACGCAAAUCUAGAAGCUGCUGCCUUGCCAUUAUCACUGUUUGAUGCCAUUGUGUCAGCAGAUGCUUUUGAAAAUCUGAAACCUGCGCCUGAUAUUUUCUUAGCAGCAUCAAAGAUCUUGAGUGUACCCACUAGCGAGUGCAUUGUUAUUGAAGAUGCACUUGCUGGAGUGCAAGCUGCCAAAGCUGCUGGAAUGAGAUGCAUAGCUGUCAAAACUACCUUAGCAGAAGAGACUUUAAAGACUGCUGGUCCAUCACUUAUACGAAAUGAGAUAGGAAAUGUUUCACUUGAUGAUAUUCUCAGUGGUGGCUCUGAUGACUAUAAUGAGACGAUGCAGGAAAGCCAAGUUCUUCAGACACCAUCCCAAAAUUCCUCAGGCCUGGUUAAAGAGAAGAUUGAAAAUGGGCCAAUCCAACAAGAGAAGUCUGAUAAUGGGGAUUCCUUAAAUGGAGGGUUGCAGGGUUCUCGGCGAGAUAUAAUAAGAUAUGGAAGUUUGGGGAUUUCUCUUUUUUGCCUUGCUUUCGCCAUCUCAAACUGGAAGGCAAUGCAGUAUGCAUCACCAAAAGCUAUUUGGAAUGCAUUGUUUGGUGCGACUCAACCAUCUUUUGGGCAAAAUGAAGGAAAAUCAAGAACUAAAAGAAUCCAACAACUUGUGAAAUAUGUAGCUGACUUAGAAACCAGUGGAACUGCUCCUAUGGUGCCAGAAUUUCCACCAAGACUGGACUGGUUGAAUACAGCUCCCCUGAAGUUUAGCCAGGAGUUGAAAGGAAAAGUGGUUGUGCUUGACUUCUGGACUUAUUGUUGCAUAAAUUGUAUACAUGUGCUUCCAGAUCUGGAGUUUUUAGAGAACAAAUACAAAGAUAUGCCGUUCACAGUUGUGGGAGUCCACUCAGCAAAGUUUGAUAAUGAGAAAGAUUUAGAAGCCAUUCGCAAUGCAGUGUUACGUUAUGGCAUUAAUCAUCCAGUUGUGAAUGAUGGAGAGAUGCGGCUAUGGCGUGAACUAGGUGUGAGUUCAUGGCCAACGUUCGCUGUCGUUGGCCCAGAUGGUAAACUCAUUGCACAACUAUCAGGUGAAGGUCGUCGAAAGGAUCUUGACGAUAUUGUGGAGGCAGCUCUUCAGUACUAUGGUGGAAAGAAAAUCUUAAACAGCACUCCUUUACCAUUAAGUUUAGAAAAAGAUAACGAUCCUCGUUUGCUUACAUCUCCAUUGAAGUUUCCGGGGAAGCUGGCAAUAGAUGUCCUCAACAAUAGGCUCUUCAUCUCUGAUAGUAACCACAACCGCAUAGUUGUGACUGAUCUCAGGGGAAACUUUAUUGUCCAAAUUGGAAGCACAGGGGAGGAAGGUUUACGUGAUGGUACCUUUGAUGAUGCUGUCUUCAAUCGGCCGCAGGGCCUUGCGUACAAUCCAAAGAAAAAUUUACUUUAUGUAGCAGAUACUGAAAAUCAUGCUUUAAGGGAGAUUGAUUUUGUUAAUGAGACAGUGCGUACUCUAGCUGGUAAUGGAACAAAGGGUUCUGACUAUAAAGGAGGAGGAAAUGGAAGCACACAGCUCCUGAACUCCCCCUGGGAUGUUUGCUUUGAGCCCGUCAAUGAGAAAGUUUACAUUGCUAUGGCUGGCCAACAUCAGAUCUGGGUGCACAAUACAUUGGACGGGAGUACCAAAACAUUCAGUGGUGAUGGUUACGAAAGAAACUUAAAUGGCCCCAGCUCAACCACCACAUCAUUUGCACAGCCUUCUGGAAUUUCGUUAUCUAAUGACUUUUCAGAGGCAUAUAUUGCUGAUAGUGAGAGUAGCUCAAUUCGAGCACUUGAUCUGAAGACUGGAGGAUCGAAAUUGUUAGCUGGUGGUGAUCCCUUUUUCUCAGACAAUUUGUUUAAGUUUGGAGACCAUGAUGGAGUAGGGGCUGAAGUACUCCUUCAACAUCCAUUGGGUGUCAUUUGCGCAAAAGAUGGUCAAAUUUAUAUAGCAGAUAGCUACAACCACAAGAUCAAGAAGCUAGAUCUUGCCAGUAAAAGAGUUACUACCAUAGCAGGUACAGGGAAAGCUGGUUUCAAGGAUGGAACAGCCCUAGAAGCUCAGCUUUCAGAGCCGUCAGGAAUCAUUGAAGUAGAAAAUGGAAGACUGCUUAUUGCUGAUACAAAUAACAGCAUAAUAAGAUAUCUGGACUUAAACAAGGAAGUACCUGAACUUCUAACUUUAGAGCUGAAAGGUGUUCAGCCUCCUAAUAAAAAAUCUAAAUUGCCAAAGCGGCUUAGGAGACGAGCACCAUCAGAUGCACAAAUUAUUAAAGUUGAUGGUAGUUUAUCCAGCGAAGGAAACUUACUCAUUAAAAUAUCAUUGCCUGAAGAAUAUCACUUUUCAAAGGAGGCUCGCAGUAAAUUUAGUGUUGAUGUUGAGCCUGAAAAUGCGUUGACUAUUGAUCCUUUGGAUGGAUACCUUAGUCCAGAAGGAUCUGCAACAAUUCAUUUUAAGAGAUCUUCAUCAUCAGCUUCGAUGGGAAAAAUAAAUUGCAAGGUUUACUAUUGCAAAGAAGAUGAGGUCUGUUUAUACCAAUCGCUGUCGUUUGAAGUACCCUUCCUUGAGAAAGUUGGGGAGUCUAGCACAGCUGAAAUCAUACUUCCAUUUCUUGUUAAGCCAAAAACUUCAGCAAGCAGCUUACAGUUACCUGCAGUUGCCCCUUAAGAUUGAUCCUUGUGUAAAUGGUAAGAUCUGCUCUUUGGAGUAACAGGCCUUUACAAGAAUACAAGGUGCCAAUCAGUUUUUCUUUUUCUAUUAAUGUACAACAGAGUACCACCCACUCUUUGCAUCCUAAGCCAUUGUAUGGGACUCAAAUCUUUUGAGAAAGCUGUUAACAAAAUCAUGUGAGAAUGAAAGGUGGGCAUUUAUUUUAAGAAAUAUUGUAAGCUUUAAACACAUUGAUUAUUGUAGUAUAUUGUAUUAUACUUAGAUUAGGGCUUUGUAAAGCGCGUUUGUUUCACCAAAUCCCAUGUCUAUCUUCUAUCCUAAACAUGGUCUUUACAAUAAUUUAAUGAUAUGGAUUUGUGGUA